rnacentral:lncRNA from 1 species
UGGCCUUCUGGGAGGCAUUGUAAUGAAGCACCAUGGGCUAUACUAAUGGCGCACUGCCUGGUGCGUCAUUAGUAUACCAGAUACUAAUGGUGUGAUGCUAGUGGCGCACCUGUAGUGAGCCAUUAGUAGCCAAAACAGGUGGGCCACUAGCAUGCCUUUUCCUAGUAGUGCGCAUAGCAUUGGAGCAUUUUAUAAAUGUCUUUUAUAUAAAUUUGAACAGAAUUUGUGGCCCGAAUAUUUUGUUUAGCUUUAUCUCACUUGUAUUACUACUAACAUCGCGUAGCACUCAUACCGUGUCCGCGUGUAGCAUAACCAAGUGAGAUUGAUUUAUGAUAUGCCAUUUGAUUAUGCAAAUAGUUUAGGCUCUUAUAGCAUUGGAGCAUUUUAUAUGACUUUGGUUAAAAUGCAUGGCAUGGAUAUUUCAUUUAGUUUUAUCUUGCUUGUAUUACUACUACGUCGCGUAACAUUAAUAUCGUGUCCGCGUGCAGCGUAACCAAGUAAGACUGGUUUUUAUGAUGUAUCAUGUUAUGUAAUACAUCUUGCAUGAUUUUUAUCUUUGCGUGUGUAGCAUGAACACAUUUUUUAUUAAGUUUUGCCUUGUUUGUAUUACUACUAACACUGCAUAGUAAUAAGACAAUACCCGCGCGUAGCGUAACCAAGUGAAGGUUUAUAUCAUAUAUUCUUGCCUGUAUUACAACUAACGUGACACAUAAUGUCCGUAGCGUGACCGAACAAGAAUUUUAUUAUGCCUUCAGUUUAGCAUAUUCAUAAUUUCAUUCUAACCUGAUCAUAACAUUUUUAAUGAUGACCAAACUAUGACAAUUUUCAUGAAGUUUUCGUCCUUAUGACGUUUUCUUGAUUUGUAUCCACGUAUAGGGACCAAACCAAGGAACAAGAUUUACGCUCAUCUUGGCUUGUAUCGCUAAGGGAACCGAACCAAGAAGAAGAUCAUUAAGACCAAGAGUAUGUGACAUGUAAAAUAACCAUGCAUGUUCCUUGAAUCGUACCGCGAUGGCCGAACCAAAAACAAUAAUUUGAGAUGGAUGCAACAUGCUCCUUGAUUUGUAUCGCGUUGGCCGAAUCAAAGACAAUAAUUGGAGGUGGAUGCAACAUGCUCCUUGAUUUGUACCGCGAUGGCUGAAUCAAAGAUGAAAAUUUGAGAUAAAUAUAACGUGCUCCUUGAUCCGUACCGCGAUGGCCGAAUCAAGAACAAAAAUUUAGGGUAGAUAUAACAAGCUCCUUGAUCAGUACCGCGAUGGUCGAAUCAAGGACAAAACUUUGAAAGAAGAAACCAACACCUUGAUUUGUACCGCGAUGGCCGAAUCAAGGGCUAGAGUUUUCGGAAAAGAUGAAGAAGAAAGCCCCAUGGCUCGUACCGCAGUGGCCGAACCAUAGGCUAGAGAAGAGCCAUGAUUCCCACCUUUUCACCUCUGCAAGCAGAACGAGCCUCCCCGCUUCUUGUUUUUUCUAUGUGUUUCUAUGCGUGUAUGUAUGACUUAGCAGUGGGAGGAAAGGAAUGAAUGGUUGGCCGCAGGCGAGAGCAAAAAU